GAAGUACUCCUUUCUUGUAUUAUUUGAUAUGCAUGAAAAUGGAGUAGAGGGUCCAACGCCCCUAAUACAACAUGCCUUAAUGUGAUUAAACGCGUAACUAAAAUCAAUCACCAUCCCUAGACCGAGAUUCAACACUAGGCUCGUGUUGAAUCUAAACAAAGGUUCAUAGUCAUCCUAAGGCCCUAAGGCAACUAUGUAGUCCAUCAAAUGAAUGCAAAGUUUAUGUUAGUAGUAUCAUAUACUCUUGCUUUAAAAACCAUUUUAUAAGCAUAGUGGGAGUAUUAUAUACAACUAAAUUCAAUCAAAUGGACCAAUAGUUGUAAUAGGACCAAAAUUGUUUUAAUAAAGAUUAAAAUGAAUAUUUAUAUGUGAUGAGACCUAAAACCCUCAACCAAACCAUUAUUAAGUUGAUAAGUGAGAGAUGCUUUGAACACUCUUUCGUGGCCUUCCACUGUGGUAGGCUCCAAUCGUUUGUGACUCGUACACCGGCUUCACCCUUUCAUGGGGGAGUACAAAGUGCGUGCUUACACUCAGGAGGAGUCUAUAUGCAUACUUGAUGUUGUGAAAGGUAGGCAACGAGAAUAGCCACCAUCAUAUCAUUGUGAGGUUGUUCUUGAACCCCUACCCGAACUUGCAUGGUGGGAAUGACUUAACUAAGUGCAAUGGAGCCAACAUCAUAUCAUUGUGAGGCUACAUUCUCUAGAGGCCAAAUAAGAUGGGUACUUGCAAGAGAUGAAAAUGAGUAAGCGUACUCUCUCAUUAUUAUUAAUGCUAGCCAAUAUUAUAUCAUUGUGAGGUGGGCUUGGUAAUAGUGAGUCUCCCAUACCCUACUAAGAGUUUCCUCCAAAACUCUCGAAUUCCAAUGAGGGAUAUGGAAUUUGCCAAAAAUAGUGGGUGGUGCUAUUUGAUUUAAAGACCCGGAUCAAAUGGCUUAAAAUCAAUCGAUUUAUAUUCGUUAUGUAUUUAUUUACCAAUAUAUUUGCAAACGCUAUCCAACACUUGACAAAUAAAAGCCGAAAGCUUUAGUUUCUGGACUUGGUACUACAAAACCAUAGAUUGUCUUUAAUGGCUUGUAAAUGUACCUAAGUAGUCUAAUCCUCACAAUCUUCCUAUUAAUAAUGUGUCAUUGGAAGAACAUGUUAGAUAAGUCUAUCAUAAAGAGGACAACACUUUUAAUAUCAUAGUUCUUCACUUACAAAUCGUUGUAUGAAGAAAUAAGAGUUGCUUUGAACAACCCUUAGCUAAUGCAAAC
rnacentral:lncRNA from 1 species